UACGUCGACGUGUGCGUCAAUAAAUUUUCAGGAUUCACCAGACGCAUGCACUCUAAACAAUACACAUGAAUGACCAAGGCAAGUCAUGAGUGACCGCUGCUAUCUCUAAAAACUGCUAACUGUUUUCCCUGAGAAGUGUGCGCCAAACCUGGUGCAUACAAACCACUAGAGAACCCAACAGUUUUCAAAACACGUCUGUUAACAACACCUGAUUGUGAGAUUUUUCUAUUUUCCCUGUUUCAUGACUUUUUGUUUUAAAAUAAAUUGGAUCUCUCACCGCGUGUUGUCCAUAGUUUUUCAACUAGAUUGGAUCGGCCGUCCGGUCUCCGUCUGAACGGCAGCUUCUCACCCUCGGGGGAGGAUUCAUCUAUAUUAUGGCCAUCUGCCGUUCAGCCGGAGUCCCCGUCAAGCGCGUCCAUCGCAUCCUCGUCGCCAAUUUGUGGUGGAAAUAAGUGUUCCUUUACCUUGUGAGAGAUCAAAAGUAGUUUAAGCAUGGUUGACCCAUAACACUUUAUUAUAGUAACAAGUUUACAAGUCAUCAACCAAACGCUAAAUAACAAACAAGUCAUGAAAACAUUCAGCUGAAUGGAGCAGGAUCCCUGAGCCUUCUCUCAAGGCCGUCAGAAAUAACUGCUGCCUUCUCUGUGCAAUACUGCAACCUUUAUAGAUCUCAGAGAGAAUCCACAUUCCAAAGUCCAUCUGGUUCCAGUCAAGCUCGGUUUGGUCAUUACCUCAAGACCCCUGGGUUGUGACCUUUUCCCAUGAGAGCCUGGGUUGUGACCUUUUCACAUGACCCCACACAGGAUUAGAUUAUCCUCCAUAGACAUUUGGAAGAGACAACUGUUAACACAUUCCAGGAGAGAGAGAACUUCUAAAACACAUUUUUCCCCAACACAGUUCAAUUGUCACUUUCAAAGCUCACCUGAAAGGACAGUUGCUAGCGAGUCAAUCAUGUUCCCAUUUUCAGUAGGGUACCCUUAAUGGGGGGGCGGCAUGACGAUAAUCAACCUCUGGGGCCUCUGGCCCCUGUGUAAAUAGGCUCAUUGACCGUAGGGGUUUUUUAUUUCUAUUAUUUUUAAUGUUAUCGUACGUAUUUCAUUGUAUUGUUCUACAUUGUAUGUUUUAUUUUGUAUUGUUUUAUAUUGUAUGUACAAGGGACUGGAGGUGUAAAAUAGCAAAAGCUAUAACCUAGUGCAAUGCAUCUUUUCUCUUCGGAGACUAAUGUUUUUUUGUACGUUGUCCCUGAAAUAAACUUCUAAAAUAAAUAAAUAAAAAUAAGUCUCUUAGGUCAACUCCUUAUUAUCAGGCUGCUCUAUAAGUCUCUUAGGUCAACUCCUUAUUAUCAGGCUGCUCUAUAAGUCUCUUAGGUCAACUCCUUAUUAUCAGGCUGCUCUAAUAAAUCUCUUAGGUCCCUCCAGUUGAUCCAGAAUGCUGCAGCUCAUGUUCUCACUAAAACUAAGAACAGAGAUCACAUCACUCCUGCACUAGCUGCUCUGCACUGGCUCCCAGUAAAAUCAAGAAUCACUUUUAAAAUUCUUCUCUUAACGUACAAAGCCUUGAUUGGUGAUGCUCCAUCAUAUCUUAAGGAGCUUGUAGUACCAUAUUGCCCCACUAGAGAGCUGCGCUCACUAAAUGCGGGACUACUUGUAGUUCCUAGAGUCUUAAAAAGUAGAAUGGGAGCCAGAGCCUUUAGUUAUCAAGCUCCUCUUUUAUGGAACCAGCUUCCACCUUCAGUCCGGGAGGCAGACACAGUCACCUCGUUUAAGAGUCGACUGAAGACCUUCCUCUUUGACAGAGCUUAUAGUUAGGGCUGAAUCAGGUUCACCUGGUCCAGCCCCUUGAUAUGCUGCUAUAGGCUUAUAGCUGCUGGGGGACGUUUAGGAUGCACUGAGCACCUAUCUCCUCUUUUUUCCUCUCCUUAAGGAUGAAUUUUCAUCUCUCAAUCACACGUUACUAACUCUGCUUUCUCCCCGGAGUCCUUUUGACUUCACGUCUCAUGGGGUCAUCGGACCCUAUGAGACGGCAUAGAUCCUAUCUGCUGAUGGAUCAUCGAGGUCUGGGUCGUGGAAUUCCUGCUCCUGACUACGCCACUGUCCUGUUGAGACUCCGCCCACUGUUGAGACUCCGCCCACUCCUCCUCCCCACCGCCAUCUGCCUGAUGGAUCGUGGAGGUCUCCAUCGUGGAAUAUGCCUACUAUGAACUAUUCAUCCACUCUGUCAUAUUCAUUGAAUGUAUUUAAACUCUAAAUCUGUCCUUCUGGUCACAUGACAUCUAUUGUUCUGUCCAUCCUGGAGAGGGAUCCUCCUCUGUUGCUCUCCUGCAGGUUUCUUCCCUUUUUUUCCCCCUGAAGGGUUAUUUGGGAGUUUUUCCUGGUCCGAUGUGAGGUUUUGGGGCAGGGAUGUCUAUGUGUACAGAUUGUAAAGCACUCCCAGACAAAUUUGUAAUUUGUGAAAUUGGGCUAUACAAAUAAACUGAAUUGAAUAUAAAUAUACAUAUAUGUGUUUAUCCAAGCGAGCGUAGAACACUUUAAACUAGACGAGCUCAUCGUAGAUGCACAGUAUGAUUUAUGCUGGUUCGUCAGGUGGAUCACAGGAAGAUGCUUUCAGAAUCAUAAAUCCACAUCAAGAGCCAUUAGAUUGUUUUGUCACAACAUGCACUAAUAAAAACAGACGCCUCUGAGAUAAAAUUAGAUUGAGCUAAUUAAAAAAAAUUUCCAUGCAUUAAUAACAUCCCACCAACAGGACACCAUGUGCAGGAAUAUGAAUCAUGAGAGAGGAGCUCACGUUUGAGAACCUCACACUGAAAACCUGGAGGAUCACCAGAGUCCAAAGUCUGCAGGUGUUGGGGUUUGGGACCAAAGCGUUUAAAAAUCAAGGCUUUAAAAAAUAUAUUUGUAUAUAUAUAUGCAGUGUUGGGCAAGUUACUGAAAAUUAGUAAUUAGUUACAGUUACUAGUUACUUCUUUUAAAAGUAAUUUAAUUACUUUACUAGUUACUGUAUAUCAAAAGUAAUUAGUUACUAGGGAAAGUAACUUUUAAGUUACUUUUAUGUCUGCUUUUUUAAUGUAAUGAACAGUACUGAACAGUCAAACACAAUAAACGUAUUUUGUAGACCUACACAGGAAAAAGGGGAGAGUAAUUUUUCCAGAGUUAACAUUAUUUUCCUCUGAAAGAGUCAUUUUUAUUCAUUUCGGAUUAUAAUUAUUUCCGAUGACCACAAGAAUGGGAGUAAAAAAACAGAGUAAACCUUAUUGGAGUAAUAUUAAGAACACGCCCACUAAUGUUUGUUAAGUUUCGUUUCUGCCGCCAUUUUCUAGUCCCGCAGUGCAAGGUGAGGUGAGUGGCAGUGAGACGGCGGUGAGCCAGGUAAGUCUGCAAAGUACUACAUAUCGAUUUUAAUAGGAUAAAAUGUCAUCAGCAUUUUUUGUUGGCUUAUUUGAAAAGUAAAGCUGGUGAGUUACAUGAUAGCUGGCGAAUUUGUGUGUUAGGGUCAUUUUCUCACGUUGUUCGGUUAGUAAGCACAUGUGUUUUACUCUAAAUGUAAUGGUGUACAUUGACGUGACAUCUUGUGUGUGUUUCAACUGCUAUUGGGCUAGCAAGCACGAGGUUAGCAAGCUAUUGUGUGUGUUUCAACUGCUAUUGGGCUAGCAAGCAUGUGGUUGGCAAGCCUGUGUGGUUUUUGUUUAACCUGCUGUCCGGUUAGUAAGCAUUUGGUGUUUUAAUUCACCUGCUUCCCGGUUAGUAAUGUCUGUUUUGUUAGACCUGCUAUUUGGUUAACAAACACAUGUGUUUUACUCUGAAUUGAGUCCUGUACAUUGACCGUUUUCGCUCUGCUGUUCGAUGAGCAAGCUUGUGUGUUUUACUUCUAUUUUGAUCUGCAGUUUGGUUAGCAGGUAUACACUUCUACUGACAUUCCUUCAUGGCCAGUGUGUUGGACUAGCAUCAUACAAACCUUAUAGACAUGUCAUUUACGUAACUUGUUGCUGCUAUAGAGUUGGCCAUUAUUUUGUUCACCCGAUUUACUUAAUCAGAGCAGCAUAGACAACAUGUGUACAAUACAAAUGGAAUAAGUCAAGGUGCACAAUGGAUUAUAAAUGUUAAUGAAUGACUUUGUAAAUAGAUGUGCAAAAUCUAAUAAAAUAACCUUUUCAUGUCAUGUAGGAUGAAUGCUGUUGGAGUGAAGUACAGAGAUCCACAAAAAUACCUCUAUUUUGAGGGCCAAGUUACCUAUGCAUCGUUUUUGGAAAGUGCUUCCAAGAAGUUCAGCAUCCCAACCUUGGACUUAAGAGUCUUUGAUGACACAGACUGAGGUUGAUGAAGAAGUCUUUGAUUUCCUCGUGAAAAAACAAAACCUAGGUGUGCUCGAGAAGGUCUAAAUUCAGAUGGUUGCCUGAGUUCCCCUGCAAGCAGCUCCUUUACCAGCUCCAGUGGGGAUAUUGAUGGGGACUCUGAUGACACUGUAAUAUUGCAGUGCAGUCCUGCCACAAGACGGAGAGCUGAAAACCUCUCUUGCCAAAAUGAUUGAAGAUGUUCUAAAGAACAAACCUGGCGGAGAGAGGAUCAUCAAUGAGUAUGCUCGGACAAAAAGUCUUAACAGACGGCAGGCGGAGCGACAUGGUCAAUAUAUUGGUUGCACAAAUAACAAGUGAACAUGGUGCUCAUAGUUUGUGUGUAUGUGUAGGACAAGUCCUUCAAGGCGUGUCAAAGAGGACCACGCAAAGGGGAUCAUCAACUUGUUCCCAUACCUGGCUGAUCCAAGGAGCAAGUUUGGUUAUGAAACAUUUUACAAUGCAGAAGAUGGGAGUGGGUAUCUGGCUUGGAGAUUGAAGUUUGUCCAAAAGGAAGCUUCUGAUGGACAAAAGAAGGCCAUGAGACUCAAGAACACAAAUGGGUAUUUGUUGUUACCUGUAACCAAACUGCAUACAUGAGAAUCAUGGCAGAGUUCCCAAGUGUUGUUUAUUAAA